rnacentral:lncRNA from 1 species
GACAGAUUUUUAAAACACCUUCCCGUCCCGUCCCGUCCCGUUCUUUUAUUUUCGGGACGGGACGGGAUUCACCAAAUCCCGGCCCGUCCCGUCCCGUGCCCAGCCCUAGCUUAAAGUGUUAAAGUGACCAGAUCACAUGUUUUAAAUAUGUCUACAAAGAUUGAUGUCUUAUCAUGAGGACAUGGCGCCGACCAAAAGUUGGUCUUGGUGCCAUCACUAUAGAUGGUGAAAUGGUGACGCCAUAUAGUGGAAAAAUUGGUGUCGCAAGGCCAUGUGGUUCCCCAAAAGGAGGGAGGCCCUUAGGUUCGAUAUAUUAUCACACUAGGAAGAAAGCGAGCUUGGCACAACCUGAUCCAUUGAUCAGUGCUACUCAAAUCCGUCUCAUGAAGUUUGAAUUGUGAUUAUCGUUGGGGGACGCCUCAAUGUCAAAUCCAAUCCAUAUAGAGAUCUCUACAAGUAUUACACUAGUGUACAUGAGGACGUGGGAUAAUGAGUCUACUAUUGAACCACCAUUCGUUGAUGGAUAUCAACUUAGUUGAUUAGCCUAAUGGAAAGAUGCGAUCCAACAUUAACAAAAAGAUAGGUCAUUGGGUAGGUGAUGCCGACACCGCAAACUAAACCCUAUCAACUAUGUCUUUGUUAGAUAGUUUAGUGAGAACAAGAGCUUAGAUUUACCUUAUGGCGCAAGGUUUCUCACUAACACGCACUAGGUCGACUACGAUGAGAUAUGCUCUCGUAAUGGAUAUCAUUGCACUCCAUUACUUUGUCAGUUUCGUAGUUUCCGAAUAACUGAACAUGCAACCUAUGAAUGUGGUUAUAAUAACAUCUCUACGGGAUCAGAGAUAUACAUGAAGAUUUUAAACGGACUUUAUUCAUCCGAAUUAAGUGGCUCCAGACCACAGGAGCAUGUGUUUGCUAAAUGUAUUGAAACACACAUGGACUUUAUUUGAUUUGGAAGGGAUAUGGUGAAUUAUGCCUUUGCGUGUUCAUUCCAGAUUUACAUGGACUCUUGAUGGAUCAAGAGAUGCCAAUAUGUAUCAACAUCCGAAGAAAAAGAUCUUGGGAAGACACGGUCUCGAUAAGACACUCGAUGACUGUAUUGAUGAUGAUUUUCCAUCAAUCGACUUAGGCGCUCUAUAACUAGUGAGGCCUACAUAUACUCCCAUGAUUAGAUAAAGUCUUUGUUCUAAAGAGAGAUCCGUUGUUUUGUUUAAAGCAAGAUGACAAAUAUGUGUUAAGAGAUGGAGUUCCCAUUUAAGUACAAUAAGACGCAUCAAUGUACUCAACACAAUACGAAAGACUUGACAUCUCAUUCGGUAUGAAAAGUUGUAAAGCUAAGUGUAGCUAUGCGCCCACGCAACGCCAAUGUAAUGACAGUAACUCCUUUUUCAAUACUUAAUGGUAUGAAAGGUUGAGGCUUAUUCUAUCCCUACAUAAGAAAGACACAUUAAAAGUGAAAUUAGAAUCUGCCAAGUUUCGUAGGUCAACUUCCACGGGACCUACAGGAAACCUCACUCACUAGAAAAUGGUAAAUAUGGUACCAUUGGAAAGGUCUAUGUGUCUACUUUCCAGGAACACCAACCAUUUGAUCAUAGCUAUCAUAUUGAGUGAGUUAUGGCCGUUUUCGUAAAGUAGGACGAAUCUGUCCGGGAAUCUGAUUUUGGCAAAACAGUCAACUUUGACGGGACUUUGUGAAUAGCUCCUGACAAACCAGAACGUGUAUAAUAUACGGUUGGAAAGCUAAAUGAGUCUAGUUUCCAAAACCAUUUACGGUUUGUUCAUAUAUAUUUCCUAAAGGAAGUUACAAAUGUUCUAGUAACUGAAGGUCAUGCUACGCAGAAAUCUGAUUUCUUGCAUGAACUUAUGUUUUGAGUUCACAAGCGGCCUUCUCCUCAAGAUCUAAGUGUAAAAGAUCAUGUUUGAGGACAAUACAGCAUGAUCUAGUUAAUCAUUGCCCAAUACCACAUUUGAAGACAUGUUAAAGAGCAUUGACAUGCUAAGUUAUUGAAACUUCCGUGAUUAGAAAGAAUCAGGAAGAGCCCUAUGAUUGAUGUAAAGAUCAGGGGGAGGUUCGAACUUCAGGGGG